AGAGUUUGAUCCUGGCUCAGGAAUAACGCUGGCGGCGUGCUUAACACAUGCAAGUCGAACGGGAAACUUUUUAUUGAAGCUUCGGCAGAUUUAGUUUGUUUCUAGUGGCGGACGGGUGAGUAACGCGUGGGUAACCUGCCUUAUACAGGGGGAUAACAACCAGAAAUGGUUGCUAAUACCGCAUAAGCGCACAGGACCGCAUGGUCCGGUGUGAAAAACUCCGGUGGUAUAAGAUGGACCCGCGUUGGAUUAGCUAGUUGGCAGGGUAACGGCCUACCAAGGCGACGAUCCAUAGCCGGCCUGAGAGGGUGAACGGCCACAUUGGGACUGAGACACGGCCCAGACUCCUACGGGAGGCAGCAGUGGGGAAUAUUGCACAAUGGGGGAAACCCUGAUGCAGCGACGCCGCGUGAAGGAAGAAGUAUCUCGGUAUGUAAACUUCUAUCAGCAGGGAAGAUAGUGACGGUACCUGACUAAGAAGCCCCGGCUAACUACGUGCCAGCAGCCGCGGU
rnacentral:rRNA from 1 species